UCACUCCUCAUCCCUUCGUCCGCUGUUUGUACGUUUGUUUGGCUGUAUUGUGUGUGUGUUGUGUGUGUGUGUGUGUGUGUGUGUGGGCAAGGAGGGCUAUCAUGGACUCUGUGGCUCCUUUUGUGCUGCUUUUGCUGCCCGGCCUCCAUUGGACAGCUGCCGAGGACACGAGCUGGACCUACACUGUUACAGUUGGGCAGGCUGGCGUGAGCACAGUGGUCACACAGAGAUGAUGGAGGGCUGCAAGGGGGUAGCGAGGAAGAAGGGCGCAGGCCAAAAAGGCAAGUGAAGAGAGGCAAGUGCACGAGGAUGACCGUCACAGGCCAGCGUCAGAGAGCGAGAGGGUGAGCGCCAGGGCGAGCGUGAGAGGGAGACGGGA